rnacentral:lncRNA from 1 species
AUGCCUUCAACAAAUCCAGCAUUGUGGUCUAAUUACGAGCACGGGGAGUCUGACGACGCGCGCCCGGAGAGCGACAACGUGUGCCCGUGGGACACGGCCGGAGCGGGUGCGGGGGCGGGGACGUCUCGGGCCUCGAUCCCUGCGACCCUGUGGGAGGCCGGCGCGGGCCCCCUCCGGAAGCACUCGACCCAGCUGGACCCGGACUCGGGCUCUUCCUCCUCGGACGUGAGCCUCCUGGCCGGCGGCGACCUCGGGGACAAGUUCCGCUCCUGCGAGCAGCGGCUCCGGCGCCUCUCCACCACCGCCGCCCCCGCCCGCCCCGCCGCCCGCCCCUCCGCCUCCUCCUCCUCCGCCUCCGCCGAGGACAUCAUCGGCGCCUGCAAGACCUCCCAGCCCGAGCCCGAGCCCUUCCUCCAGGCCGCCCAGGAACACUCCCACGAACCUCGCAGGUCCGUAACGAGUUUGAGUCCCGGGUGCAGUGGGCGGAGGCCCCUGGCCUGCAAGCCGCCUUCGAUCAGCGUGAGCUCCGCCCAAGACGUGGAGGAGACCUCCGGGGAGACCGAGGAGGAGAAGGAGAAGGAGAAGGCGGUUGAGAAGGAGACGAAAGAGGGGAAGGAGAAGGACGGCGAGAAGGAUAAAGAGACGCAGGGUAAGGAGAGACUGACUGAGGAGCCUCACUCCAAGUGUGAGAGCAAGGACAAAGCGCUCAAGAAGAGUGACAGCGAUGUCUGUCCCUGGGAAGACGAGGAGAGCUGCAAAGUGGACGCGCCAUUCGUCAAAACGUACGCAACCCUCGGCUAUCUCUAG